rnacentral:rRNA from 1 species
AUCUACGGCCAUACCACCCUGAAUGUGCCCAAUCUCGUCUGACCUCAGAAGCUAAGCAGAGUUGCCCUGGUUAGUACUUGGAUGGAUGCUACUGUUGAUA